rnacentral:rRNA from 1 species
GCGUGCUUACACAUGCAAGUCGAACGAGAAAUUUUAGCUUGCUAGAGAAAGUNAAGUGGCGCACGGGUGAGUAACGCGUGGGUAAUCUGCCUCCGAAUCGGGGGAUACAUUGCGAAAGCGAUGCUAAUACCGGAUAAAAUCUGGUUGGCUUAGGUGAACCGGAUCAAAGGUGGUCUCUUUAUAAAAGCUACCGUUUGGAGAUGAGCUCGCGUACCAUUAGCUAGUUGGUGAGGUAAAGGCUCACCAAGGCGACGAUGGUUAGCUGGUCUGAGAGGAUGAUCAGCCACACCGGAACUGGAACACGGUCCGGACUCCUACGGGAGGCAGCAGUGAGGAAUUUUGCGCAAUGGGGGAAACCCUGACGCAGCAACGCCGCGUGAGUGAUGAAGGCUUUCGGGUCGUAAAGCUCUGUCAGGUGGGAAGAACCCACCAAGUGUUAAGACCACUUGGUGCUGACGGUACCACCGAAGGAAGCACCGGCUAACUCCGUGCCAGCAGCCGCGGUAAUACGGGGGGUGCGAGCGUUAUUCGGAAUCAUUGGGCGUAAAGGGCGCGCAGGCGGUUUUGUAAGUCAGAUGUGAAAUCCCGGGGCUUAACCCCGGAAGUGCAUAUGAAACUAUGAGACUUGAGUAUGGGAGAGGGAAGCGGAAUUCCUGGUGUAGCGGUGAACUGCGUAGAUAUCAGGAGGAACACCGGUGGCGAAGGCGGCUUCCUGGACCAAUACUGACGCUGAGGCGCGAAGGCGUGGGGAGCGAACAGGAUUAGAUACCCUGGUAGUCCACGCAGUAACCGUUGAUCACUAGGUGUAACGGGUAUUGACCCCUGCUG